AACGAACGCUGGCGGCGCGCUUAACACAUGCAAGUCGAACGAGAAGCUGUAGCAAUACAGUUGUACAGUGGCGAACGGGUGAGGAAUACAUGGGUAACCUACCCUCGAGUGGGGAAUAACCAGCCGAAAGGCUGGCUAACACCGCGUACGCUUCCCAGUCUGCGGGUUGGGAAGGAAAGCUCUACCGUGGGUAGAGCGCUCAAGGACGGGCUCAUGUCCUAUCAGCUUGUUGGAGGGUAACGGCCUACCAAGGCAACGACGGGUAGCUGGUCUGAGAGGACGAUCAGCCACACUGGCACUGCGACACGGGCCAGACUCCUACGGGAGGCAGCAGUGAGGAAUAUUGCGCAAUGGGCGAAAGCCUGACGCAGCGACGCCGCGUGAGGGAUGACGGCCU
rnacentral:rRNA from 1 species